rnacentral:rRNA from 1 species
AUUGAACGCUGGCGGCAGGCCUAACACAUGCAAGUCGAGCGGAUGAAGGGAGCUUGCUCCUGGAUUCAGCGGCGGACGGGUGAGUAAUGCCUAGGAAUCUGCCUGGUAGUGGGGGAUAACGUCCGGAAACGGGCGCUAAUACCGCAUACGUCCUGCGGGAGAAAGUGGGGGAUCUUCGGAUUCCACGCUAUCAGCUGAGCCUAGGUCGGAUUAGCUAGUUGGUGGGGUAAAGGCCUACCAAGGCGACGAUCCGUAACUGGUCUGAGAGGAUGAUCAGUCACACUGGAACUGAGACACGGUCCAGACUCCUACGGGAGGCAGCAGUGGGGAAUAUUGGACAAUGGGCGAAAGCCUGAUCCAGCCAUGCCGCGUGUGUGAAGAAGGUCUUCGGAUUGUAAAGCACUUUAAGUUGGGAGGAAGGGCAGUAAGUUAAUACCUUGCUGUUUUGACGUUACCAACAGAAUAAGCACCGGCUAACUUCGUG